UAGCGCAAUCACUUGUCCCCUAAAUAGUGACUAGUAUGAACGGCCAUACGAGAAUAAACCUGUCUCUUUUGACAAAUCAGUGAAACUGAUCUUCCAGUACAAAAGCUGGAAUAUCAACAUAAGACGAAAAGACCCUGUGGAGCUUCAAUAUCACUCUACCCCCAUUAGCACAAAUAUUUUAGUUGGGGCAACUUCGGAACAAAACUAAACUUCCGAGCAUGCUCCGGAAACACCGUUAUCAAGACAAACAUGUCAAAACCCGAGCCAGAUCCAGUAACCCACUGACCAACGAACCAAGUUACCCCAGGGAUAACAGCGCCAUCUUCUUCUAGAGCCCCCAUCGACAAGAAGGUUUACGACCUCGAUGUUGGAUCAGGACACCCCAGCAGCGCAGCCGCUACUAAAGGUUCGUUUGUUCAACGAUUAAAGCCCUACGUGAUCUGAGU
rnacentral:rRNA from 1 species